GACGAACGCUGGCGGCGUGCUUAACACAUGCAAGUCGAACGGUAAGGCUCUUCGGGGUACACGAGUGGCGAACGGGUGAGUAACACGUGGGUGAUCUGCCCUGCACUUCGGGAUAAGCCUGGGAAACUGGGUCUAAUACCGGAUAGGACCCUGGGAUGCAUGUCCUGGGGUGGAAAGCUUUUGCGGUGUGGGAUGGGCCCGCGGCCUAUCAGCUUGUUGGUGGGGUGAUGGCCUACCAAGGCGACGCGGGGUAGCCGGCCUGAGAGGGUGACCGGCCACACGGGGACUGAGAUACGGCCCAGACUCCUACGGGAGGCAGCAGUGGGGAAUAUUGCACAAUGGGCGCAAGCCUGAUGCAGCGACGCCGCGUGAGGGAUGACGGCCUUCGGGUUGUAAACCUCUUUCAGCACCGACGAAGCGCAAGUGACGGUAGGUGCAGAGGAAGGACCGGCCAACUACGUGCCAGCCGCCGCGGUAA
rnacentral:rRNA from 1 species